AAAGAAUAAAAAGUCGCGAAAGACGGAAACGAAGCAAACGUCUCGUUUCCUUCGCGAAGCAACGAAGUAACAGGCUAUACACAGAAACCACGAUGCGUUUCCUGAGCUUCCUUGCUGCAACACCUGUUCUAAUGGCUUUGCUGCUCACGGGUCAAUUUGGAACCCGCGUUGAAGGUAACUCCCUUGAUCCAGCCUGCAAGACUCCGAGUCAGCCACUUUUUGAAGAUGUCGAGAGUUUAAACAACACAAUACUGUACAUAUACAACGAAACUAGUAGGCUGUGCUCUAAUGCUCUGAUUGACAAGAACCACAACAAUACGUUUAAGUCCCGCUUUGAUUGUGUGUCUCUGUGCAAA
rnacentral:lncRNA from 1 species